GGAGAGUUUUCAAAAGUCUGAAGCAGAGAGACAUACUUACAUAUGUGUGAUUCUUCCCUAAGAGGAAUUCUCAAAAAUCAAAGCAUCUCUCCUCUUCUUCCUAAACGUCGACGAGUGGAGUCCUUGGCGCGAUCAAGAUUCAAAAGUUCACGACCCUCCUUGCCGUGACUGGAGAGGACUCCCCUCUAUUUUUCUCUCGCCGAUCUACUUUCUAGUCAGGACCUCUGUGCAAGAUUUCGAAGAAAAAAAACAUCAUCAAUCACAAAUCCUCUGCUUAAGCAUUCCUCGCUGGUGGUGGUGGCGAGAAUUCUCUUCGAAGAGGUUCCUUUCCCGACGCUCUAAGCUUCAUCCUCUUUGAGGCGGUACACUACUUGAGGGCGGUUGUCCUAGCCCUCUCUGAAUCCUACGUGGAUCUCAUUCUUUGGAUUCACAGUUGGGUGGUGGUUGUUCUUCUAAAAAGAACUGCAGUGUGGUGAGGUCGUAUGACUCUAGACGGUUAGUAACGGUGGUGGAGCUCCUUCUGUUGAUCAUGCGGUUAUUUCCCUGAAAAGAAGAAGUUGCUCCGAGGACGGCAACACGGUCUCUCAAAGGAGCGUUCUGUCAAAAUUUUGGGUGAGGCAAGACAAGAUCCCUUCGUAUUGGUCACGACAGAGACGCCAUUUUGAUGGUGUGAGUUUGUUGGUUCCUGUUAAGUUUUUCGGCGUGGGAAGGUUGGAGUCUAAUAGUGUGAUUAGCUUCUCCGUUAGUGUUAUGGCAAAGGUUUUCUCAGGGUGGUGUGUUUCUACGUUUUCAGCAGUCACUCGGUUCUCUCUAAGUAGGGAGUCGGCGGAUCUAAGCCCAAAUCCCACAAGUGCGCACGCCAGAUAUAACCAGUGUUUGUAGGCAGCGUUAGGAGUGACGAUCGCGUUAACGAUGACCGUUUCAGCAGGUAGAGGUGUCUAUCAACACAAUACAGGUAAGAGCAGAGGCUUUCUCUGGCAAACGACAAUACGUUGUCGUUUCGGCUAAUGGAGCAAAGAGGAAAAUGAAACAGAUGGGCCUCGCACAAACCAAGCCCAAGAAGCAGAAGCAACGGUCAUCUGUUUCAAGUAAACAGAGUCUAGAAUCUUCCUCAAGUAAUGACAAAAGUGGAGCUGGCAAUAAGGAGACAACGACCUCUUGUACGGCAAAGCAGUUCAACGUAAAGCUCGAGAAUCGUUUCUCAACCCUUGAUUCAGAAGACUCAACUUGAUGUAUGACAUCUGUCCAAUGUCUCUAGGGUUUUAGCUAAGUCUCCACCUUUGUAUUUAAGUAUUCUCAAACUCAAGUUGUAAGCUUUAAGCAAACUAUCAAUGAAAACCUAAAAAGAUUGAUUUUGUC
rnacentral:misc_RNA from 1 species